rnacentral:misc_RNA from 1 species
GGCCCUGAUUUUGAACUGCUCUUUAAAAAUAGUCCAAUGCACACGAGAUUAAUACUACAGAAUAAAACUUUAACAUUACAAUCAUUACAAAUAUUACAUCACGCUAUUAUCGAAAGGGAGUACAAUACAUCGAAACACACAACAUAGAAUUAAGUCAAAGAUUAUUUAUUUGUUUAUUAUUCAGCAACCUUCACACCUGAGAGAUAAACGCGGCUCUGAAUCACAGUGCCUCCUAUCCAAAAACCAGGCAUGACCAUUAGCCCAACGAUAGGCUUCUGGUUUUCAUCCAUUAUCAGAUUUUUCACAACACUUUCCAUGUAAACCUCAGAGAAUUCACUACCUCUCUUAACCUCCCAUUACAUAAUUUCGCUGAUCCA